rnacentral:rRNA from 1 species
AUGGGAAGCACCGUCGUGCUCUACACAUGGAUGGUCAGGGGUCACCUCCACCCCAUGACGCAGCUCGCGAAUCACCUCGCCGGACAUGGCGCUCCCGUCACCGUCGCCGUCGCCGAUGUUCCGUCCACAGGUGACUCCUCACAAACUAUUGCCCGCCUCUCUGCCUCCUACCCUGCUGUAUGCUUCCACCUGCUCCCGCCGGCAACAACCCGCUCCGAGGACGCGGCCGAUCCCAACGCCGACCCUUUCAUCACCCUCAUCGCCGACAUCCGCGCCACCAACGCCGCCCUCCUCGCCUUUCUGAGGUCUCUCCCGUCUGUGAAGGCUCUCAUCACCGACUUUUUCUGCGCGUACGGGCUUGACGCAGCCGCAGAGCUCGGUGUCCCAGCCUACGUGUUCUUCACCCUUUGCGUGUCGGCUCUUGCCACCUUCCUGCAUAUCCCCGUCAUGCGCUCCGCCGUCUCCUUCGGGGAGAUGGGGCGCUCCUUGCUGCACUUCCCUGGAGUUCACCCAAUUCCGGCGUCCGACUUGCCGGAGGUCCUGCUCGAUCGUGACAACAGGCAGUACAGUACCACUCUUGGUCUCUUCAAGCAGCUUCCCAGAGCGAAGGGCAUUCUGUCGAACACGUUCGAGUGGCUGGAGCCCCGCGCCGUGAAGGCGAUAAAGGAGGGAAUUCCCCGCCCCGGCGAGUCACUGCCGAAACUGUUCUGCGUCGGCCCAUUGGUCGGCGAGGAGAGAGGGAGCAACGCGAAUCACGAAUGCCUUGUGUGGCUGGACAAGCAGCCGGCGGGGAGCGUGGUGUUCGUCUGCUUCGGGAGCGCGAGCUCGGUGCCGGCGGAGCAGCUAAAUGAGAUAGCCGUGGGGCUGGAGAAGAGCGGUCACGCGUUCCUCUGGGCCGUGCGCGCGCCUGUCGCGCCGGAAGCCGACUCGACGAAGCGGUUCGAGGGGCGGGGUGACGCGGCGGUGGAUGCGCUGCUGCCGGAUGGAUUCUUGGACAGAACACGGGGACGCGGAAUGGUGCUGUCGUCCUGGGCGCCGCAGGUGGAGGUGCUCCGGCACCCGGCGACUGGAGCGUUUGUGACGCACUGCGGGUGGAACUCCACGCUGGAGGCGGUCAUGGCGGGGGUGCCGAUGCUGUGCUGGCCGAUGUACGCGGAGCAGAGGAUGAACAAGGUGUUCGUCGUGGAGGAGAUGAAACUUGGGGUGGCCUUGAACGGCUACGACGAGGCGAUGGUGAAAGCGGAGGAGGUAGAGGCGAAGGUGAGACUGGUCAUGGAGUCCGAGCAAGGGAACGAGAUCAGGCAGAGGAUGACGAAGGCGCAAGAGAUUGCUGCCAAUGCACUGGAGAUCGGUGGAUCCUCGGCGGCAGCAAUCAUUGACUUGCUGGAUAGUCUGAAGAUUUCGACAAACGACUGA